rnacentral:rRNA from 1 species
CCUACGGGCGGCUGCAGUAAGGAAUAUUGGUCAAUGGACGCAAGUCUGAACCAGCCAUGCCGCGUGAAGGAUUAAGGUCCUCUGGAUUGUAAACUUCUUUUAUAUGGGACGAAAAAAGGGUAUUCUUACCCGUCUGACGGUACCAUAUGAAUAAGCACCGGCUAACUCCGUUCCAGCAGCCGCGGUAAUACGGAGGGUGCCAGCGUUAUCCGGAUUCACUGGGGUUAAGGCGGGCAUAGAAGUCAGGGUUGAAAUCCUAGAGCUUAACUCUAGAACUGCCAUUGAUACUAUCUGUCUUGAAUAUUGUGGAGGUAAGCGGAAUAUGUCAUGUAGCGGUGAAAUGCUUAGAUAUGACAUAGAACACCUAUUGCGAAGGCAGCGUACUACGCAUAUAUUGACGCUGAGGCACGAAAGCGUGGGGAUCAAACAGGAUUAGAUACCCGUGUAGUC